AUGUUUAGGAACCAAUGAAAAUCAUUCUUAUUAGAACAAGAACUAUAGAUAAAAUUUGAUAGGAUGUAUCAGAUAAUACAGUUUAUACAUGGAUAUAAGGUUGAGAGAUUCUUACUAAGAAUUGUAAUAUAAAGACAAGUUUAUACUGAUACAUGCACUUAUAUAAGGAAUCAAUUUUGUAUACUGUAAAAGUGGAAUCGCUUAUUUCGCGACCAUUAAAUAUCCGAGAAAUAAUCCACCUGCGAACAUAAUGACAAAUGUGAAAAUAUUGACACGCGAAUAUUUCAACCAAAUAAACUAAAUACCAUAAAAUCCAAGACGCAAGUUCCUGGUGGUUUACCGUAUGGCGGCGUUCAAGUGUCCUAUCGUCUGUGAUGUGUAACAUCAUGAGGGCAUGCAUGGCUAUACUAAUUUAAGUAAUGUGUAAAAUGAUUGUAUCUAAUUCAAUAUUAAUUUAUCAUUAAAUUCUUCAUUUCGUGAUAAUAUUGUUAUCGUAACUACGUUAAUGUAACUGUACAGAUUAAUCCCGGUAAUCUGUUUUAUUUGAAUCAGAAACUAUUGAUACAUUAUUGCAAUGAAUGGCCCGUUCAUUAUAUACAAAAGGGCUACUGUAGAAAUAGUUAUAUAUGUUGGAGAAUUAGGUCAGAACAUCAUGAUAAAUAUGUCUGCUUUUGAAUUGCCCAGUCGUAUUUAAUUAUCUACCAAACUUAUUUGAUACCUGCAAAAUAAACCACCGCUGAUUGAGAUGUCUGUGUUUGUUUUGACUGGACAUGUGUGCUUAUCACGUCACUCAGCAUGACCUGACCGCCAACCCUUUCAACUUUACCGCGGGCGACACCUCACGUGGCCUGUCUAUACUUAGCGUGAGGGAGUAGGUUUACAGAUUUCAUUCCUGAGAGCGAGGAGGGAAUAUUACAGUUUUCCCCACCAAGUUGGGAAUGCAAAGAAUGUGGAAAUUGUUUAAACAACUCUCCUGUCACAGAGGACUGGCUCACUUUUCCUGAAGUUGAUGUGAUAACACGAAAUUAUGUCGGAAUUGGUAGAGGCGUCCCUUGUUCACCUUCUACCAGGCUUUAGUUUCUGACCACCUAGACAGGGGAAACAACAUUGAGGAUAUUCUUACUUACAAUAAGCUGAGAUGUGCAUGGAAUGCAUUUAUCAAGCUACUGGAUCUUGACUUUCAGCAGGGAUUUUGUUGCCAUCACUGUAAUGAUGAUGGGAAUGGGGCCCCCUCCACUGUCAUCUGUGACGGUACUUCCCUGUCAUUCCAAAGAAGAAUGUGGAAAUGGGAAAAAGAGACUUUUUCCGAAAAACAUCAUGCACCAGUUCUUGGUUUUUCAGAAAGGAUUUGUAUUCCCGAUGUAAGAUCUCGGAACCUUCUGAAACGAUAUGCUGCUGGUGGACACAAGGGACAAAAAGUUUUGUCUGACAAUGAAAAAGGAGAACUCUUUUUAUUGUUAAAAAAAACUCAUUUGCAUCUUCACAACUUCUUGAAUUUCGCCAAUGAAAAUCACUGUAAUGUCAGCGACUUCUUAUCAUCCUUAUCAUCACCGUCGCCUGUGUGUGCAUACAUUCGGCCAAAUAAAGAUGUUGAGCACAUUUUAAUCCAAAUACUGAAAGGAACUGACCUGAGAAAAGAACUUGGCCAAUGGCAAAAACUGCACCAAGAAUGUCCCAUUCUUUUCGAUCUCCUGAAAGAUCAAUACAUAUUGAUGACAGAGUCAGCAUCCUUCAUAAAUCUCAUGGUGGAGUUAUGGAAUAAGGCCUGUGCUCCAUUUGUGUUUGCAGCUGACCUCUCCAGCACUGGAAAGGAUCAUGUUGUAGAUGAACAAGAAAUGAGCUUCUUUCCAUCCCUGACAAAGUCAGGAACAGAGGCAGCUUUCCAGCAGACAGACAAAGGAAAGAGCCAGUCUGUGAUAAGAAAUAUAGAGGGCAUCCUACUCUACUGCCAGGCAUUUUCACAAUGUUUUGCCCUCAUGGAGUAUGUCUUGGAUUUGAAUUGAUGCCCUUCUGUGAGUCACCUAAUGUGCCUUUCUCGAUCUUCAGGACAAGAUUCCAGUCAGCUCCUAAAGUGGUUGUAUAUGACAAUGCAUGUUCACUACAUGCCUAUUGCCUGAACAGGGAUCCAUUAUUUUUUGAGAAUACAGAGUUCUAUGUGGAUCGACUUCAUUGGGAUAAUCACAAGAGUUGCAGUAGUGGUUACUGUCUGGACAGAUCAAUCAAACAUGACAAACUCAACAGUCAAGUCAAUGAACAAGCCAACUCUGGCUUGAAGCGCAUCAAAGACCAACUCUCUUACAUGACAGCCGAGAACUUUAUGACUCAUUGUUCAUUCUAUUUGUGGAACAAAAACCAAAAUAAGCUGAGGAUUCUAAACUGAUGUUUGAUUCCUUUUUGUGGAAACUACCAGCCAUUGAUUUGAGAGAUGAUUCAGUGAUUUGAGAGAACAUUUAUUCAUCCAAUUUUGUUGUGAAUCUGAGACUUCUAGCAGUACAAAUAACAAUUCCUUUAUUGAAAUCACCAUGACUCAUUUAAUGAUGUUACUUCUACAAAAUGUAAAUGUUGCUAUUGUUACAUUUUGUUAUUCUAAAGUGUAAUAUAUAUAUCCAUACAUUCACAAAAGAAAUGCUUCAUCCAAUUAUAUAUCAGUAAUCGAUGCAUGUGAUAUUUCUUUCAAUCUAUUUUUCAAACGACAUACAUGUAGUUCAAUAUAGAUACAACUUUUAUUUUUUAUAAUGACGAGAGUAAUAAAAUUAACUUUGCUCAAUAUUAAUAUUUGGAAACUCAUAGAAAUUGUCAUAGCCCAGGAAAAAUUAUGCAAAUGAUAUGGAUGAUUAAUUUAAUACUUUGUGCAUGUCAAAUAUCAGUUUAGAAAUUCAUGAUGUGUCAAAAGAAGUAUAUGUAUAGGACUAAUAAACAUGACUCAAACAUUA